rnacentral:rRNA from 1 species
CGCUCCCUGAGACCCUGCCUAGGGUAAUUAAACUAUUUUUUAUAUAGGGAGUCGGACCUGCCCGGUGACUUAAAACAUGUUAAACGGCCGCGGUACUCUGACCGUGCAAAGGUAGCAUAAUCAUUUGCCUUUUAAUUGAAGGCUUGUAUGAACGGUUUGACGAAAAUCAAGCUGUCUCUUUUUAAAUAUCAAAAAAUUAUUAUUUAGGUGAAGAAACCUAAAUUGAAUUGAGGGACAAGAAGACCCCGUUGAGCUUUAGUGAUUUAGUGAAGACCAUCUUCCAAAUAAUACAAAUUAAAGUAUAUUUGGUUAUUACGUUCUCGCAAAUAUCGUUCACUAAAAAUCUUUAGUUGGGGCGACUAAGGAACAUAAAAAGCUUCCUUUAAUUAUCAACUAAUGUCAAGCAAAUUACAAUAAAUAUAGAUCCAGUAUCUACUGAUCAGAGGAAAAAGUUACCACGGGGAUAACAGCGUAAUCUUUCCAAAGAGUUCUUAUCGAAGGAAGGGUUUGCGACCUCGAUGUUGGACUAAGAUACCCUAAAGGUGCAGAAGCUUUUGACGGUUAGUCUGUUCGACUAUUAAAAUCUU